GUAGUCCACACCGUAAACGAUGAGAGCUAGUUGUCGGCAGGCAUGCCUGUCGGUGACGCAGCUAACGCAUUAAGCUCUCCGCCUGGGGAGUACGGCCGCAAGGUUCAAACUCAAAGAAAUCGACGGGGGCCCGCACAAGCGGUGGAGCAUGUGGUUUAAUUCGACGCAACGCGCAGAACCUUACCUACCCUUGACAUCCUGGUCGCGUUUUCCGGAGACGGAUUACUUCAGUUAGGCUGGACCAGUGACAGGUGCUGCAUGGCUGUCGUCAGCUCGUGUCGUGAGAUGUUGGGUUAAGUCCCGCAACGAGCGCAACCCUCAUCCUUAGUUGCCAUCAGGUCUGGCUGGGCACUCUAAGGAAACUGCCGGUGGCAAGCCGGAGGAAGGUGGGGAUGACGUCAAGUCCUCAUGGCCCUUACGGGUAGGGCUACACACGUGCUACAAUGGCGGUUACAGUGGGAUAAUCCCCAAAAACCGUCUCAGUUCGGAU
rnacentral:rRNA from 1 species